GCCCAAUCCAGGUUUGUUGGUAAGGUAAAUGCCUCNCCAAGCCUUUUACCGGUCCGGCCCGUGGAACCGGAAGCCCGAAAAUGGGCAUUUAGCCAAGGGCCCAGGCCUUACGGGGCGCAGCAGUCGCGAAAACUUUUGCAAUAAGCGAAAGCUUGACAGGGCUAUCCCGACUGCCAUCCGCUGAGAAAGGCUUUUACCCAGUCUAGAACGCUGGGGGAAUAAGAAGAGGGCAAGUCUGGUGUCAGCCGCCGCGGUAAUACCAGCUCUCCGAGUGGUGUGGAUGUUUAUUGGGCCUAAAGCAUCCGUAGCUGGCUAAGUUAGUCCCCUGUUAAAUCCACCGAAUUAAUCGUUGGAUUGCGGGGGAUACUGCUUGGCUAGGGGACGAGAGAGGCAGACGGUAUUUCCGGGGUAGGGGUGAAAUCCUAUAAUCCCGGGAAGACCACCAGUGGCGAAGGCUGUCCGCUAGAACGCGCCCGACGGUGAGGGAUGAAAGCUGGGGGAGCGAACCGGAUUAGAUACCCGGGUAGUCCCAGCUGUAAACGAUGCAGACUAGGUGUUUGGACGGCCACGUGCCGUUCUAGUGCCGCAGGGAAGCUGUUAAGUCUGCCGCCUGGGGAGUACGAUCGCAAGAUUGAAACUUAAAGGAAUUGGCGGGGGAGCACAAGGGCGAAUUCCAGCACACUGGCGGCCGUUACUAGUGGAUCCAAGCUCGGUACCAAGCUUCG
rnacentral:rRNA from 1 species